rnacentral:rRNA from 1 species
GACGAACGCUGGCGGCGUGCUUAACACAUGCAAGUCGAACGGUGAAGCGCCUUCCUUUUUGGUGGGUGUGGAUGAGUGGCGAACGGGUGAGUAACACGUGAGUAACCUGCCCCCUUCUUCUGGAUAACCGCAUGAAAGUGUGGCUAAUACGGGAUAUUCUGGGUCUGUCGCAUGAUGGGUCUGGGAAAGAUAUUGUUUCGGUGGGGGAUGGGCUCGCGGCCUAUCAGCUUGUUGGUGGGGUGAUGGCCUACCAAGGCGGUGACGGGUAGCCGGCCUGAGAGGGUGGACGGUCACACUGGGACGGAGACACGGCCCAGACUCCUACGGGAGGCAGCAGUGUGGAAUAUUGCACAAUGGGCGCAAGCCUGAUGCAGCGACGCCGCGUGAGGGAUGGAGGCCUUCGGGUUGUGAACCUCUUUCGCCAGUGAAGCAGGCCUGCCUCGUUUGUGGGUGGGUUGACGGUAGCUUGAUAAGAAGCGCCGGCUAACUACGUG